UGUGUAUAAUGCACACUACACAAACACACUGCAUUAUAUACACAGUGUGUUUGUGUAGUGUUUAUAUACAGUGUGUUUGUGUAGUGUGCAUUAUAUAC